UCUAUCUGCGCUGCGGCUGGGGCACGGCUAUCUCCAAGCGCCAAGGUAACACAUGGAAACGCGUCUCUGCACCCGAUGGAUGCCAAGAACAUCAGGGGAAUUGAAAAGAACUUGUUUCAUGAUUUAUUUGCCAUAACUUAAAAGGCAAAAAUCUAUUAAACAUCCAUCGAGUAUUCAGACACACAAUUGUUGACUUUUCCGAGCCACAGAAUGGAUGAUGGUUCCGCUUGUACGAGCACCGUGACAAAUGAUCAGAAGUCAAAGACGAUCCAAGACUAAUGAUGUCCAGUGGAAGGCAGCAAGAGCUGUGGCAUCUGCUCCACUUUGUUCUCUCCCCAAUGCCACAUGCCACAUGCCACAUAUGCCAAAUAAAUCGUCACACUUUUCAGUGUCAGAAUAGAAGAUAGAAACCGACGACAGUUGUCAGUCAGCCCCGCCGUGUGCACGCCUCGGAAACACGAGACGAAUCCCGCAGGGUCUUCAGUGGCUCCUCUGGAGCUGCAUCAAUGGGAGCUGUCAAUACGAAGGCUGCCUGCGACAAUUGCACGGCUCAUUUGUGUGGCUUGGGCAGGGGACAUGGCAUGUCACCAAUCAGCAGACAACAAACAACUGCAACAGAACGGAGAGAGAGAGAGAGAGAGAGAGAGAGAGAGAAAGUGACAACCUGACACUAGAAGCCCAGAAUCCCAGAAUCCCAGAACCAGUCAUCAGAUCAUCAGCUCCUGUCCUCUGCAAUUGGAUGCAAGUUUUGGAGUGCUCCCCAGAGAACGCAAUUAGCCGCGCUGAAGCAAAAGCGCCACAUUUCUCGACUAGUUUCCCCACAACAUUUUCAUAUGCAAAACAUGUUUUUACGCUCACAAAUUUAUAUUUCACAAAAUUGAUAGAAAACUUUUGUCCAGCUAGCGCAUAAUUAACACUCCCUUAGCCCGAACGGGCUUCCUCUCUCUGCCACUCUGAUUUCUACCCGUAAUGUUUUUCGCAUAAAUUAUACAAAAUAUAAUUUCUCAGAGGUC